rnacentral:misc_RNA from 1 species
GCAUCAUUUAAGACGCGUGGAAUCCUCAGAGUCUGCUCUCUUGCAGAUAUGCUCAAAUGCGUUGGACAGAACAACACGACAGGGUAGCCCAGGUACACGUUCGCACCCAUUAUUCGUCCAGUACAGACGAACAGAUGGUUGACUACAUGGUGGGACUGUAUCCGGAGCUGGAUCGCGAGACCGUGAGAAUGCAUGUUCGAUUCUGGGUCGUUUACUACCGUCAAAAGGCGUGAUCUAUCAUCAUUGGGGGAAGUUGAGGGAGGAGGCAUUCGUGGGCCACUGCUGGAACGAGAUCUGAGUCCGGUCAAAAGGACGAGACCGAACAAAUCAUCAUCUCUGGGGUAGAAAGAAGAGCUAUUCCAAGCAUAUUCUGAAGUUCACUGAGCUGAAAUUGCCCUAACAGUGGACGUGAGAGGGGAGGAGCAGGAGCAGGAGGACAUUGGCUGAUUGAUUAGGUCAGAAGAACUCAAAUUCGGAUAUAUUCUGUGA